rnacentral:lncRNA from 10 species
UUUUUUUUUUUUUUUGAGAUGAAGUCUUGCUCUGUCGCCCAGGCUGGAGUGCACAGGUGCCAUCUCGGUUCACUGCAAUCUCCGCUUCCCGGGUUCACGCCAUUCUCCUGCCUCAGCCUCCUGAGUAGCUGGGACUACAGGUGCCCGCCACCACGCCCAGCUAAUUUUUUUGUAUUUUUAGUAGAGACGGGGUUUCACCAUGUUAGCCAGGAUGGUCUCGAUCUCCUGACCUCGUGAUCCGCCCACCUCAGCCUCCCAAAGUGCUGGGAUUACAGGCGUGAGCCACCACGCCCGGCUAUACUUAUUCUUAAAGCAUCAGUUCCAUGGGUUAAUUUAUUUCUUUGUUAUUUCUAUAAUGUUAUAUCUUCUUAGCUUUUCAUAUAUUUAUUUUGAUACCUACCUAGGGUGCAACAACUUUCUAGGUUGAAGCAAAAAGUAAUAAUAACCCAGGAUACGAUGUGGGUUACCUAUUCAAUUCUUAAUUUGACAUGGAAACUGAUUACUUUUUCCAAGGGUUUUGAAGAGCCAUUGGGUCAACAGGCUGGGCUGCCAUUUUUUUUUUUUUUCUUGGCUUAAUCUUCACUUGUUACAUCAGUGAAAUUUGUAAGUCUGGGUCUUUUACACAGUCUUCCGUUUUAUUGCAACCUGGUGUCUCUCUCCAAAAUUUUAUACAUUGCAAGUCUCACUUGGCCAAUGUUACAUAACCCAUUGUCCUGUCAUUGUGACAUAUGGAUCUGGUCUGUGAGCAUUAUUUAAGACUGCUAGAUACCUUUUAUUACCUUGUAAUUAGUAGGGUCAUCUAGAGGUUUCACAGGAGAUGAGAGAUUGGGUCUGCGUGUUUUUCUCCUCCCCAAGACAUUCAGCUAAUCCAUCACUGUGAAACACCGUUUCCAUGACUUCUUAGCUUACUCAUGGGUCCCCGUGAUUUUUCUUUCCUGUUUCUAUACCAUGUCAUGGGCACUGUGGGAUGAGUGUGGAUGCUCUCAUGUGGUGGAGUGAGUGGCAGCUGCUCCUGUAAGAUUCAGGUAUGGGGGUGGGUGCAGAGGGGAAGGUGUAUUCUCUGUGGGCAGGUCUCUCCCAAAGUAAGGCUCCCAAAUACACGAGUCUAAGCCACUCCAUUUUCCCUGGAGUGGAGUGAAUAAGGGGUGGAGAAAGGCCAGGUGUGUUAUUCUGAUUGGGCUCCCUCCAAGAUGAAGAAAACAUCAGAAGUGGAGAAGAAAUAGUUCUGCAUCCCUGCCUCAUGCAUUAUUUUAGUGGCAUACUAUUCAAGCAAGUGGAUGUGCUAUAACUUAGUCUUCUACUGUUGGGCAGGUUGGUUGUUUCUACAUGUU